UAACACUCAAGGAUAUAUCUUUGUCAAGCUUCUUAUUGCUGCUAUGCACUUUUAGUAUUUCUUCCCUUCCUCUGAUGUCAGGCAAUCCAACAGUUACCUGCAAGGCAAAGUAAGAGUAAAUAGUCACUCUCUCGUAAGUGUGGAAACAAUUUUGUUACCUGUCGAUCAAAUCUUCCUGGUCUGAGCAAAGCUGAAUCAAGAACUUCUGGUCUGUUAGUAGCAGCAAUUACAAUAACUCCACUAUCACCACUAAAACCAUCCAUUUCAAUCCCGCACUCUCGAAGCCCCGACUCCGACAAACAUCUCAAUGAAUUCUGAACCUGACAGAGAAAAGAAAGGAACCCCUGCCUCUCCUGCAAUUGCUUUAGCCAGCAAGGUUUUGCCAGUCCCUGGUGGACCAACAAGGAGCACACCCUUUGGAAUUCUUGCUCCGACAGCAGCAAACUUCUCUGGGGAUUUCAGGAAUUCAACAAUCUCCUUGAAAUCCUGCUUUGCUUCAUCGACUCCAGCUACAUCAUCAAAGGUGAUUCCUGUGUUGGGUUCCAUCUGAAACUCGGCUUUUGACCUGCACAGAGUUCAUAAGCAUCAAUGCUUUGUGUGCGUACCUUCUUCUGAACCAUCCAAAAGGCAAGUUGGGGCUUCCUGGAGUAUUCGGUGAUGAAGAUCUAAGGAACAAAGUUCCCAGUAACAGCAAGGGGAAGACCAGAUUUCCCAACAAGUCGAGGAUUGCAAGUCCCACAUUGGGUUCCACGGGAUGCGCUGCAAAAUCUACAUCCUUCUCUUUGAGUUUCCUGAGAAGCUCCGGGGGCAAUCCAGGAAGCUGCACUUUGACUCUCUGGAUCUUUUUCAAGGCUGGGUUAGAUAUCUCAGCAACGGCGACCGUCCCAUUCUCAAAUAGAUCCACCUUCUUCACUGCUCCUUCGUUCAGGUACUCCAAGAAUCGUGAGUAAGACAUCCUGCUGGAUGCAGACUCUUGAGGACUCUCUGGCUGAGCCAUUGCCGGCUUAGCUACAGAUAGCCCUGCUCCAACGAGGCCCAGCCCCACAGAUUGGAGCAGCUUUCUUCUUCGAAAAUCGGCAUCCGAAACCGUUCUCUGGUUUAGGUUCUCUCUCCUCACAGAUGAUUUAAUGUGGCACUUUCUGGCAACAUCCAGGGAGUUGCAGACGGAAAGGUGGGUGGCAGCGAGAGACACAGCAGCAGGUGACAUUCUUCUUCCUUCUUGAACAGGAAAGUUCUUCUGGUUCUAACUAUGCUAAGCAAAUGAGAUGUCAAGGGACCACUUGUACCGAGGCAGAUGGACAAUGGCGGUUGCUGGUGGUUUAAAUAGCAUGAGCAAUGCAAUGGAAUUCUGAGUUGCAGAAACUUCAAGGUGAAAAUGUUCAUUCAUCAGUAGUAGUGUCUGCUGAAAGAAGAGAGACAUCGCAUGAUCUGUCGAUUAAGUCGAAGCAUCCAGGUUGACCACACACGUGGGGGACUCGGCUCUUCGAUUGAUUGAGGUACAUCGUGCUUAUCAGGACAUGUGGAAGCGGCUUCUGUGGUUCCAUGAAGCCUGAGGUGAAUGCUCGACACUAUCAACUGGAGAGUUCUGACUGGUUCUGGAGAUUACUGGAGCCAAAUUCUAAGUAGCCAAGGUGGUGUUAGAUGAUAUUUUUAGAAAGGUGUAAGCAUAUCACAAUGAAGCAAAAAAAUAUAUGGUACAUCGAAUUAAUAAUGAUGGGAGAGUAUAAAGAACAGGUAAUCAUCAUCACAUGAAGGUCUUUAGUUGUAAAGUAUUUGAUUAUUACAUCAAAUACUAAAUAAAAAAUUAGAGUUUGACAGUGACGUAGAAAAAAAAACGUUUAAUAGAUAUUAAUAUCGAACCAUUCAGAAUUAUAUGACUGACAUAUUUUAUAUUGAUGUUUUGAAUGUCAACAAUAUAAGAGGUUGCCAUUUUUCUUCC